GAUGAAGAACGCAGCGAAAUGCGAUAACUAAUGUGAAUUGCAGAAUUCAGUGAAUCAUCGAAUCUUUGAACGCACCUUGCGCCCUUUGGCCAUUCCGAAGGGCAUGCCUGUUUGAGUAUCAUGAACACCUCAACUCUUCAUGGUUUUCCAUGAUGAGCUUGGACUUUGGGGGUCUUGCUGGCCUGUGGGUCGGCUCCUCUCAAAUGAAUCAGCUUGCCGGUUUUUGGUGGGCAUCACAGGUGUGAUAACUAUCUACGCUUGUGGUUUUCCACCAGGGUAACCUUCAGCAGUGGAGGUUCACUGGAGCUUACAAAUGUCUCUCCUCUGUGAGGACAGCCCUUUGAAUGUUUGAUCUCAAAUCAGGUAGGACUACCCGCUGAACUUAAGCAUAUCAAUAAGCGGAGGA
rnacentral:misc_RNA from 1 species